rfam:Myotis brandtii contig250952, whole genome shotgun sequence.
GCCAGUGUUGCUAAGUGGUUACAGCACUGGCCUGCAAACCAAAGGGUCACGGGUUUGAUUCCUGGUCAAGGGCA